AACGAACGCUGGCGGCAGGCCUAACACAUGCAAGUCGAACGCUCCAGCAAUGGAGAGUGGCAGACGGGUGAGUAACGCGUGGGAACCCUCCCUAUGGUUCGGAAUAGCUCAGGGAAACUUGAGGUAAUACCGGAUAAGCCCUUCGGGGGAAGGAUUUAUCGCCAUUGGAUGGGCCCGCGUAGGAUUAGCUAGUUGGUGAG
rnacentral:rRNA from 1 species